UAACAGACAAAUAAAAACAGAAUUUGCAUGGGAGAGUCUCAACAAUGAUCCGUUAAAUUUUACAGUAAUAGAAGAAAAUAUAAAUUUGAUUUCAGAAUGUUUUAGGUUUCUAGAUUUCUAGUAAAAUAUCCACCUUAUUAAAAUAAUCUUUGUUCCAAUAUUGCUAUUUUCCUUGGGAUACAUACAAAAGAAAAAGAAUGAAAGCAUCUAACAAAAACAAAACAGAACUCAAGAAAACACAAGGGAAGACAGCAUGUAAGAAUUACAAAACAGAAACUACUAAAUGGUCAGAAAACAAUGAACAAAAUGGCAGUAAUAAGUUCUUACCAAUCAGUAAUUCUUUUAAAAAUAUAUAAAGAUUUAGCUGGUGUACACCUUCUGUCAUCCUCAAGCCUUCAGUCAUGUUGUGAUGUGGAAGUAUGAUUCUCAUCAGAUGGGAAUGGCAUGCUCUUGGACUUCCUGGCAUCCAGGAUUGUGCGCUAAGCAAACUUUUAUUCUUUAUAAAUUACCAACUCUAGGAUAUUGUUAUUGAAGCAAAAAAUAAAGCAUUUACAAAAUGUUUGAAUAGAUUUAUAAAAUCAACCAUAUGCUGCACACAAGAGACCAAAACCUGUUUUAUUAAAAAAAAAUUAACAUGACUAUUGCUGGGGAUACUCCAAUGACCAAUCUAUUACUAUGCUAAGUAGAAUAAAAGGUGCCUGUUGCAGGUAAGCCUACCUUACCUUCAGCUGUAAGUGGCUCUAAGUGGCUUUCUUCUCUAAACACCAAAAGUGCACAGCUACUCUCAGCAUGAGAAAUACAAGUAUUAUGAGAAAGAGGGCUUAUUCUGAGCAGAAUUUCCAUCUCUGCUGCUCUCCCAUCUGCCGGCCGUUGGAUUGGGAAUCUAUACUGGAACACACCUGACAACCUCCACCAGCACUUUUUGAUGAAGAAUUGGAAUUCACUCUAUUCACAUAGUAGAAUUAUAUCAGAGAUUGCAAGAUAGCUAACUGAAGAGCUACUAUGAUUCUUGGGUGGCCACAUCACCUGCAUUUAUUUGUCCGGGAAUAGUGGCAUUCCUAAUUUAGUAAAAUAAAAGAAUAGACUGUAAAAUUAUGCUGACCUAUAAUUAUACCUAUAGGAUCAAUUAAUAAACAUGUCAGGUUAAUAUCUACUGUAGCAAUGUGGUAGUAAAUUUUCUUUGGGUAUUAAAUAUAAAUGUGUACAU
rnacentral:lncRNA from 10 species